GACGAACGCUGGCGGCGUGCUUAACACAUGCAAGUCGAACGGAAAGGCCCUGCUUUUGUGGGGUGCUCGAGUGGCGAACGGGUGAGUAACACGUGAGUAACCUGCCCUUGACUUUGGGAUAACUUCAGGAAACUGGGGCUAAUACCGGAUAGGAGCUCCUGCUGCAUGGUGGGGGUUGGAAAGUUUCGGCGGUUGGGGAUGGACUCGCGGCUUAUCAGCUUGUUGGUGGGGUAGUGGCUUACCAAGGCUUUGACGGGUAGCCGGCCUGAGAGGGUGACCGGCCACAUUGGGACUGAGAUACGGCCCAGACUCCUACGGGAGGCAGGAGUGGGGAAGAUUGCACAAUGGGCGGAAGCCUGAUGCAGCAACGCCGCGUGCGGGAUGACGGCCUUCGGGUUGUAAACCGCUUUCGCCUGUGACGAAGCGUGAGUGACGGUAAUGGGUAAAGAAGCACCGGCUAACUACGUG
rnacentral:rRNA from 1 species